AAGAAGCGGCCCAGCACGGUGACGUGUCGUUGUAGGAGUUGGCUUUACUCGCCGUGCGUACACCCAGUUGGAGCUCUGAGCGAGUCAGCUGUCUGGAAUCCCGAUGUCGUUUUCAUUCUCAAAGACUCCAGUUGUCCGGGUUUUUAAUUUACUUUACCCAGAGUGUUGAGGCUGUCAGGUCUCGGGGCAGGAAGCACCAGGUCACCGUGGGUUCAUCACUGAGUAUCCCAGGCCAUCCUGGGAAGUGAUUCUCGGUCUUAAGCUUGUGGUGGUCUGUGAAAGCGAGCGGGAAACCCUGGGAACCCUCAGGCGUUAGCACCGCAAGUCUGCGACCCUAAAUUCAGGUCUAGAACCUGUGUCCUCCGGCGACCAGGGCCGAGCGAGCACUUCUAGUUUGCUUCGCCUUCGUCUCUCCAGGCCCUGCUGUAGAGUUGGAAGAUGCAGAGACCAGGCCCCUGCAGCCCUGGGAAGUGAGACAGUGAACAAUAAACACGAUCGUUUCCGAAAUUGGUAGACACCGAGGAGCAGCGGUGGAAAUGGGGGACACCUACAUUCUACAUUAUCCCUCUUAGCACAAGUAGAAGCUGGGGAGACCUACAGAGUGGCCUAGCGUGGUAGGUAGGAGCCUAGAGACCACCAAAAGAACUCAGUGGCACAGCGAGCAGCAUGCCAGCUAUGGACAGUGAGAUUGUCACAGGUAGAAAAAAGUAGUAAUGGCAAGGUUGGAGCGGGAGCUACGGCAGUGAAGGUCUAGUUUGGUAUUAUCAGAAAAAUAGGUAAGGUGUGUGGGGGGUGUUAAUCCUACCUCUUUAUAUUUGGAGACAGCUGCUUCCUUUUUCGACAAAGGGCGUUGUCUUGACUUAGCCCAAAGUUCAGUAUGUGCAUGUAUUUGAGAUGGUGUGCGCUGAUGGACACGCCUCCUUUUGUUAUAAAAGUGGUCAGGACCGCCUGGGACAACUACUAUAUCACCUAUUUUUUUGUGAUAUAGUAUUUUUUAACUUAAUCUUUACCACUCUUUGAGAGGGUGAGCACCCUUGUCUUCUCUUCUAACUUUCAUUUCUCCAGUGAUGAACCCAUGCCCAGAGGCACAUCGCUAGAUCACAAUGUUCCAAAGCCAGGACGCUCAGCCAGUACAAAUUACCUUUGAUGUUAAAGCUCUUUUUAGGUAUGUCAGUAGUUCUUUCUGUAGGUGCUAGAGCCAUUGAAAAUCUGGUUAGUUGUAAACUUUGGGGAAGGGAGCAAUAUAUGAGCACACAGAAAAAAUUUAAUAGCAUGAGACUACAAACUUUUUUGAAUUUACCUAUUUUCUGAAUUUGCCUUUUCUUGAAUUUGGGGGUUACAGUCAUCCAGGACUGUGUUUUAUAUUCUAAGAUGAUGCACUUGGGGAAGAAUUCGGUUGAAGUCUAAAACUCCAUGGGCUUUUUAUGCUAAACUUUUCUCCUCCUUGAGCAUAAUGCUUGCGCACUAACACAGAGACAUAACCAUUUCCCAUUAUCAAUGGGAAAAGCUAUGCACCUUGUCGAAGAGUAAUAAUGCCGUAAUAGUCUUCCUUAACACGACUGCUUUGCUUAACUAAGCCCCGGUAUCUUCAUUGCAACCUGCCAUUGCUACUUUAUAUUUACUACCCUCUCUCAUCUAUCUCAUUUCGACUUUCUGAAAGAUAUGUUUGUUGUGUGCACACUUCUCCCACACAAGAAUGUCCCAGCAUUUCCGAUGCUUAGGAAUUAUUCUUGCAAAUAACCUCUAAGAGCUGUUUAAAGAUUUACGAACCGCUCUUUCCAUUUGUUCCCUUACCCUGGCCCCAACUAGGUAACCCCUGAGCUCUGCCUCAUCGACCAACUCGGUCUCCAUCAGAAAGUACUUGGUUCAUCAGUCCUGAGCGGACUGACGGGUAUGAGGUGACAGAGGGCAGAGAAGAGGUGCGCCCGAGAAGCGCGGCGCUCUGGAGCGCCACGG
rnacentral:lncRNA from 1 species